CCCAGAUCAGCGCGCGUGUCCCACGCCUCCCUCCGCAUCCUCUCCCGCACCUCCCUCUGACCCUCUCUGCCGCAAUCGCCGCGCCUCCUCCGCAUCCGCGUGACCGCGCGCCUCUCACGAGUAGAGCACCUCCCGAUCCGAUCCAGAGUUCCAGACGGAUCACCUCCCCUCCCCUCGGCAAAUCACAGCGCCCUCCACCCCGGAUCCCUCGCCUCCGCGUCGCCGGUCUGCCUUCGCGCCGCCCCCGGUCAGCGCCUGCGAGGAGGAACGCCUCGCCGGUCGCCUCUCCAGUCUCCCACCCUCCUCCCAGUCGCGCAGCUCGCGCUCGACCUCCGACGAUUGCCUGUCGCCGCCGCCUCAGCUGGCAUCGCCGCUGUCUCCUCAGCCUCCGCCUCAACCGGCAUCGCCUCGCAUCGCCGUCGCCUUGCCCUCACCGUCGCGCCGCAUUGCCGAUUUCUUCCCGCCUGUUUGCAUCACCUCCACGGUGAGUCCGUCGCCGACCCCACGGCCGCGUUCGCCGGGGUCACCGGUUCCACGCCUCAAAGCCCGGUCGCAAAACCUUCCCUGCAUCGACGCCUCAAUGGCUGGCCCACGCGUCGUCGAAGCCAGGGGAGUCGGGCGCCUGAACGGUCGCAGAUCAUCUCCAACUGCCUCUCCGAUUGAUGAAGCCGCACCCUCUGAUUGGUGAGUUCAACCAUCGGCAGCACCAUCAGCCGCCCGCGCUCUCUGAUUGGACGAGGUUCAAAGGCACAGAGAAUCCACCAUUACAAGAACAUUACAAGGGGGUUUGUUUUUCAGCACAAAAGAUUUUCAGGGCAAUGGUGGUCACUGGAUUGAAGACAAUGGAAUUGUAUUCUGAUCUGUGAAUGCAACUGAGGUACCACACUUCUUAUGCAGCAAAAGUAUGGUGUGAUUCGUGAACCUUCCAUGAACGGCUGAACUCGCAGGGAGGUCAGGAUCUUCAAUCUCUCUGGUUUCAGGAAUAUUAUGGAUUCAGUUUGGCAAUCUGUUCUUCACAUCUGGUACAUCGGCAGGGGAAGAAGAGUUAUAUGCAGCCCAUUUAAUUUCUAUGAUUUUUGUAGACAGCAUCAGAUAGUACUGUUUGUUGUUUGCCAUGGAGGUGCGACAGCAGGGCAGGUACGAUCACAUGUAUACUCCAUUCCAAACUUAUAACUUCACUAGGCCAUGCAAACUUGGAUAAAAUAAGUUAAGUAUUGGAUCGAUGGAAGUUGCUUCUAUCUAUACUAUAAAAAAACCCUUGCAGCUGAUUCGGUGUGGAUUGUUGUGCCCCUUGAAGGUACACUUGGCAGCCACCGUGUAUUGAUCCGAUCCAUGUGUGACCCUCUUGAUCCCAGGCACUAAAAAUUUAUAGCGGUGACUUUUUUCGGUGGAUUAAUUUGUUAAAUCAAAUACCACAUUUAUUAAGGUAAGGUCAGGAAGGCUGUGGCUUCCACUUGAUUGGUACUCCAUAAUAGUGCCAAGUAAAAUCAGUCUCACUCUGUAGUGGUAGUUGAAUGAAGUUCAGUUCCUUACAGUAUUUGUUGCUUUUCAGAUUUUUGUUUACUUCUCAUUCUGUCAGACCAAAUCAUUCUAUAGAAGAAACAAUAGCACAUAUUUUAUUAGCCUGUACAGAAACUUGCCUUUGCAGUGACAUGGAAUGUACUGGUACAAUCAAUACAUAGUGUAAUGAGAUGUAUAUUUAAGAUUAGGGCCUGGAAUGUGUGAGAAGUAAAGUGGAUUGGGACAUGGUCUGAAUCCAACGAUCUGAAAAUGAAUGUUAGGGAAGAUAAACAUACAAAUAUUAUACAGAUAAUUUUCUAAAGCUAUGUUUCUUGUCAUCACUUGUUCUGGAUAAAUAGGUAUCUCACAUUUAGUGAUAGCAUGUUUAUCUUUGUCUCUUGCUGAUUAGGGUUGCAUUAUUUUAAUUAACAUAUUUCCUGUACAUAAGAGAUAUGUAAUAAUACUGGAUGGUAUGUUUAUCUUUGCCUCUUGCUGAUCAGGGUUGCAUUGUUUUGAUUAACAACAUAUUUCCUAUAUAGAAGAGAUAUUUAAUAAUACUGAAACUCAUUAGCUCUUUAUAUUAAAAGGACAUAUUUCUUAGAAGAGAGCUUGUCUAAGCAUGGAAGCAGGGUUGAGGCCAAAAGUGGCAUUGGAAGAGAGCUUGUCUAUGCAUGGAAGCAGGGUUGAGGCCGUGCUGUAGCGUGUAGUUUGACAACUUGACAUGUUAAAUGAAGGUUGUGCCAAAGUGGCGGAUGCUACGACGAAACACUGUAUUAAAAUUAAUAAAGUUGUAGCAGUAGAAAGAUAAUCUGAUGUAAUAUUGUAUUUUUUUUCUGUACACAUGAUAACUCAACUAUAAUCAAAGGAUGUGGCUGGCUAUUUAUUCUUUA